GAAAUAUAUAAUAGGAGAGCGUAUCCGCCGAAUUUAAGCAUAUAAUUAAGCGGAAGAAAAGAAAAUAACAAUGAUUCCUUUAAUAACGGCGAGUGAACAAGGAAAAGCUCAAAAGGAAAAUCCGCAUUGUGGUGAAAAUUACGAUGUGGAAUUGUCUGGUGAGGGUUCAUCAUUUUCUAUUUUUUAUGAUGGGUUGUGAAAUGAGUAGGAAUACUAUCCCUUAGAGGGUGAAAGGCCCGUAGCUUCCCACAAUUGUAGAAAAUGAUGAUUCUCUGUAGAGUCGUGUUCUUUGAGAUUGGAGCACAAAUAUGUGUGAUACAUUUCACAUAAAGCUAAAUAUUUGUAGGAAACCGAUAGUAUACAAGUACCGUGAGGGAAAGAUGAAAUAGUACUCAGGAAUGAGAUUUAAAUAAUACCUGAAAUCGUUAAGAUGGAACGGAUUGAGAGAGAAAUAACGUAAGAAUAAAUUUAUUUCCUUACUUGCAUGAGUAGGUUUUAACCUUUAUCUUAUUAAAAGAAGCAUCAGUGAACUUUUAGGGUUAUUAAAAUAUGGCCAUGUAUCCUUUACAAAUAUAAUAUAUGAGUAAAAGGAUUUCGUGUCACUUCCGCUAAAAUGGUUGUAUAACGAGCUAUUUUUAUAAUCCGGUUUACUGAGGUUUAUUAAAAUCUUUGGGCCCUUUGCCCAUAUUGAUUUGAGUUGCUUCUAAAAAGCACUUUCUUAACCCACUCGUCUUGAAACACGGACCAAGGAGUCUAACAAAUGUGCGAGCGUAUAUAUGUUUUUAACUAUAAUAAAAGUAUUUUCAUUCUUUUAUAUUUACGCGCAGUUAAAGUAAAUUGUGCUUAACCUAUUUGUAGAAUAUACUGAGAUUGAUAAUAUCUAUUUUCACUUGGAACCUGAAAAUAGAUUUCUUCAGUUGAAGUAUACGCAUACAAACCCGGUUGGCAACUGUCAAACUGAGGGUGAGUAUAUUUGUUAGGACCCGAGAGGCUUUGAACUAAGCGUGGUGAGAUUGAAGUCAGACGAAAGUCUGAUGGAGGAUCGAAUUGAUACUGACGUGCAAAUCGUUCAUUUCAAUCACGUUUAGGGGCGAAAGACUAAUCGAAAAGCCUAUUAGCUGGUUAUUUUCGAAAGAUCUCUCAGGAUCGCUGGAGUUGAUUAAUAUAGUUUUACGAGGUAGAGAUAAUGAUUAGAGGAUUCAGGGAAAUCGUUUUCCUUGGCCUAUUCUCAAACUCCCAAUACGUAAUAAGGGAUUAAUAUCUUUAUUGUAUUUUUCCCACUAUAAAUAAGAUAACUCCA
rfam:Plasmodium berghei, WGS project CAAI01000000 data, contig: PB_PH2414